UGGUCAUCUGAGCUAUUUGUUUGACCUGUUUUUCUAAUCCCAGUUGUUACUCUAUUUUAGCGGUCUCAUAGGUACUUGUGGGUGUGGAAUAGUUUCUUACUUGUAGCUUUCAAUUUUUCCAUUUCCUUCAUUUGGUGUUGUUUGUUUUUCACAGCCACCUCGGAAAAACAUGAUCUAGAGGACAGUCCUUUAGAAGACAUUAAGAGAGCUCAGAAAAUUGCGAACCAAUCCCAACCAUCAGUUAUCGCCGAGGAGAAGUUGUAUAAGCAUGCGCUUUCCUACUUGUGAACCAAAGAAUAAGAUAAUAACGGUGAAGAUGUCUUCUGCUAGCAAAUCUAUUAGUACUUCUGCCAUGUGCUUGUGCGUGAAGCGAACUCAGGUUCUCCAAAGAUGUCUGGUCAUUCUGUCAGCUUGGAUCAACAGACUCAUGACAUAGAGAACAGCUCUAUUGCUGCCUUUGAAAAGUCACAUGGGGAUUCGGGUUUAGACGUUGGAGAUGUUAAACCCAUUCCUAUGAUCUUGGAUUGAGCUCAGAAGUGUCUCCCCUGCGUCUAUGCUAGUAAGAGGGUCUGAUCUUGUUCAAAUUUCAAAAACCAUUGUGAUAAGAUGACUCGGGUAUUUCCCCUCUAACAUCGUUAUUUCUUAUGAAAUGCUCGGAGGUUAACCUUUUCUUUUACAGAUGGCUUACUUAGCUCUGGAAGAAGAGACGAAAUUGCAGAAUGCUUUGGCAGCUGAGGUAUAUGGUAUAUCCGAGAAUCUUGAGUUUGAAAAAUUUUUGAAAGCAAGAACAUGAAAGGUCAAUGUUGGAGCUGAAUACUCAAAAGGAGAAGCACAAAGCUGAAAUCAUCAGGUGUAAAACUGAAUCAGUCAAGUCACAUGUCACAAAUGGUAAGCUGCAAAAAAAAAUGCGACGCUUUGAAAGCUGAGUUAGAGGAACUUGUGAAAUGAGGAAAUCUGAAGCAAGAACGUGAAAGGGUAAUGUCCUUGGAGAAGGAGCUGGAAAGUCAAAAGGAGAAGUACGAGUUGACAUUUCUGAGUAUCAAUCCCAGUUAGAGAACUCCAAGAAGAGAGCUUUCGAGCAACCUAUUUGGAAGAUGAAAUUCCAAACCGGGAGGCUGCAGCUGUUUUGGCAUUCAAAACCUAUAGCGAGUACCAUAAGACCAUGGAAGCAGUUUUUACAAAGGCAUGUGAAGAUUUCGAGCAAUGCUGGAGGAAUAUUGUCCAGAACUAGAUUUUAUGUGGUUGCUUGACGAGGAGGAUUGUGAUCAAAACAAUGCUGAAAAGGAUGCUCAAGGUAAAAAAAUGUCAAUAAGAACAGAGCAUGGAAGCCUGGGCAACACUGAUGGUGCAACAACUGCUUGAACAAGUUAUAUGUGUCGUGACAUUCUUGUUUCUUGUAAAUAUAGGCAUAUAGAUCUCCUUGAACAACAUGCCUGGCUUUCUCUUGUUAUGAACUUCGUUUCGUACUGUAAUAUAUAU